rfam:Oryza sativa (indica cultivar-group) chromosome 11, whole genome shotgun sequence.
AAUAAGUGCAGCCAUGAGUUUCCGUGUCCAAGUUUGAUCGUUUGUUUUAUUUAAAAAAAAUUAUAAUUAGCAUUUUUGUUGUUAUAAGAUGAUAAAAUAUGGAUAGUGCUUUACUCGUGACUUAUGUCUUUAAUUUUUUUCAAAAAAAUUUCAAAUAAGACGAAUUGUCAAAGUUGAGCGCUGAAAACCAUGGCUGCACUUAUU